rnacentral:rRNA from 1 species
CCUACGGGAGGCAGCAGUAGGGAAUCUUCCACAAUGGGCGAAAGCCUGAUGGAGCAACGCCGCGUGGGUGAAGAAGGUCUUCGGAUCGUAAAACCCUGUUGUUAGAGAAGAAAGUGCGUGAGAGUAACUGUUCACGUUUCGACGGUAUCUAACCAGAAAGCCACGGCUAACUACGUGCCAGCAGCCGCGGUAAUACGUAGGUGGCAAGCGUUAUCCGGAUUUACUGGGCGUAAAGGGAACGCAGGCGGUCUUUUAAGUCUGAUGUGAAAGCCUUCGGCUUAACCGGAGUAGUGCAUUGGAAACUGGGAGACUUGAGUGUAGAAGAGGAGAGUGGAACUCUAUGUGUAGGGGUGAAAUGCGUAGAUAUAUGGAAGAACACCAGUGGCGAAAGCGGCUCUCUGGUCUGUAACUGACGCUGAGGUUCGAAAGCGUGGGUAGCAAACAGGAUUAGAUACCCGAGUAGUC